GUCAGCUUGGUGUAGUGGUUUGAGCGUCGGACUACAACUCUGGAAACCAGAGUUCAAAUCCCCGCUCAGCCA